CACGUAGGGCGCAAGCGUUGUCCGGAAUUAUUGGGCGUAAAGGGCUCGUAGGCGGCCAACUAAGUCGGACGUGAAAUCCCCAGGCUCAACCUGGGAACUGCGUCCGAUACUGGAUGGCUUGAAUCCGGGAGAGGGAUGCAGAAUUCCAGGUGUAGCGGUGAAAUGCGUAGAUAUCUGGAGGAAUACCGGUGGCGAAGGCGGCAUCCUGGACCGGCAUUGACGCUGAGGAGCGAAAACCAGGGGAGCAAACGGG
rnacentral:rRNA from 1 species